rnacentral:lncRNA from 1 species
AUGUGUCAUUUUGUUUGGUCAACAAUGUGGACACCUACGAUCGCUUUGCUUUUCAUGUGUUCUCAUUGUUUUGUGCGUAGCCUCGACUCCAAUGUAAUCGGAUCCUCUAAAGAAGCGAUGGAUCCAUUGGAACAGGUGGACCCGCACAGUGGAACGGUGGAUGUACAGAAUAAUGUGAACACACGUCGCAGGGCAGAUACAUCUUCUCCUCGCCAUCACAGGCCAGAUUUUCCUGAUCAAGAACGCAGUCCGUCAACGAGAAAUACCUGCAAUGGAUCUCAGAAAAAGAACCAGAGUAAAGAAAUAGUUGCUCAUGAUGAUGACGGCAACAUAAGGAAAGGUAAGAAAGCUUGGAAAAUGAUAGCCUGGUCCCAAACUGUGUGUGCUGCCUCCAACUCUUGCAGCUCUGCAUAUCUGAGUGUGGUAUUAACUGUCCUGUUCCCUCUCCAGUUGCAGAGAUGGCCACAUGCGUGCGCUCUGGAGACUGUGAGGCAGGACUGUGCUGCGUCCGCUAUUUAAAAGUGAAAAGAUGUCAACCCAUCCCAAAGGAGGGAGAUACCUGCCUCCUGCGAGGAGGACGCUCUAAACAGCGGAGGAAUCUUGACCGCUGCAACUGUGCAACCGGGCUAAUCUGUCGUGCCCAGGCUGAAAGCCCCAAAAACCAAGGAGUUUGUCAACCUAAACUGAGAGAGAACGGGAGGAGUGCUAGACACUCAGGCAAGAGGCGUAUGGCUGAGAGAAGAUGUGGAUGACUUAAGCCUUUCUUUCACUCAAAACUUUUGACUCAAUAAACUACCUUUGUGCCAUUCUUUGUUUAAAAUGUUAAAGGCUAAAUGCAAGUUAAGCUUUUGUAAAUGUAUAUUUCAUUCCAUACAAGCUCUGGUGGUCUACUCUUUGUUUUUAUUUGAGGCCCUCACCUAAUCUUAUUCAUCUUUAAAAGACAAAUCCUCACAUUUCAUAACUUCCUUGAAUUUAAUGGCAUCUGGUACCACCUCUCAAAUGGUCCAGACCUCAUCAUCACAAUGUCCACUAGUGCCAUCUAUUGGAUGAAGAUUAUAAGCAACAAAUUGACAAUAUUUGAAAAGGACCCGAGGCUAGGCUUUUGUAACCUGGAAUCAACACUGACCGUUUCAAAAUAGUUUCAUGUCAUCAAUUCAGUCUGGACCUGCUCCAACAGGGACUCUUGGGCCUAAAUAGAAAAUAGCCAGUCCAGUCAGUGACCGAUCAGAAUCUAAAAGUGGGGUUAGCACAAAACCCCAUGUGGCAAAAUGCUGCACUUUAAAGGCCAGGUAGCACAUAUUGUCAGAUAUUAAUGUAGUUGGUGCUGUAUAUUAACUAAUAUACAUUAGUUCUAACUAGAAAAAAAUCUUUGUUGUUUACAAUUACACAACUUAUGUUCCCGCAUAUAAAAACCACGAAGACUGCCGGAAAGGCCCGAACGCAAGAUCGUAAUUUCUAUGACUCACACGGUGAAGAACAUAACAUUUUAUAGCCUGUAGCCUGUACUGUUCAUGGAGAGCUGGUGUGCAUGAGUGGCACUUCACUUUUUUAGGAAAACAGCUGUGACAUUAUUGAUCCUAAGAUCAAAAUGUUAUUUGUGUAAUGAAAAUGAAUUGUGAAAUAAAAAAUAAACUGCAAUUUCCUCAAAUG